rnacentral:rRNA from 1 species
AGCGGAGGAAAAGAAACUAACAAGGAUUCCCCUAGUAACGGCGAGUGAACAGGGAAGAGCUCAAAUUUGAAAUCUGGCGUGCUCAGUGCGUCCGAGUUGUAAUCUAUAGAGACGUUUUCCGUGCCGGACCGUGUCCAAGUUCCUUGGAACAGGAUAUCAAAGAGGGUGACAAUCCCGUACUUGACACGACCCCCGGUGCUCUGUGAUACGUCCUCUACGAGUCGAGUUGUUUGGGAAUGCAGCUCAAAAUGGGUGGUGAGUUCCAUCUAAAGCUAAAUAUUGGCGAGAGACCGAUAGCGAACAAGUACCGUGAGGGAAAGAUGAAAAGCACUUUGGAAAGAGAGUUAAACAGUACGUGAAAUUGUUAAAAGGGAAACGAUUGAAGUCAGUCGUGUCCGGGAGGCUCAGCCGAUCUUCGGUGUAUUCCUCUCGGACGGGUCAACAUCAGUUUUGUCCGGCGGAUAAGGGUGGCGGGAAUGUAGCACCUUCUUGGUGUGUUAUAGCCCGUCAUCGCAUACGUUGGGUGAGACUGAGGAAUGCAGCUCGCCUUCAUUGGCCGGGGUUCGCCCACGUUCGAGCUUAGG